rnacentral:ncRNA from 2 species
AACCGAACAUCGACGCAAGCUCGUAUAAUUUUGGGAAUAUGGCCCAUAAGUUUCUACCAGGUGACCGUAAAUCGCCUGACUACGAGUGAAAGAGUGCCUAGG